AGAUGUUGACCAACAACCGCAUCUGGAAGAAUCGCACCGUGGACAUCGGCGUCAUCACGGCCGAGGAGGCGCUCAACUACGGCUUCAGCGGGGUGAUGCUGCGCGGCUCCGGGAUCCAGUGGGACCUGCGCAAGGCUCAGCCGUACGACGCGUACGCGCACGUGGAGUUCGACGUCCCCAUCGGCUCCCGCGGCGACUGCUACGACAGGUACCUGUGCCGGGUGGAGGAGAUGCGUCAGUCGCUCCGGAUCCCCUG